ACGGCCGUACCAUGCUCAAUAUACCGGUUCUCGUUAGAUCACCGAAGUCAAGCAUCAUUGGGCGCGGUCAGUACUUGGGUGGGUGACCACCUGGGAACACCGCGUGCCGUU
rnacentral:rRNA from 1 species